rnacentral:rRNA from 1 species
CCUACGGGUGGCAGCAGUGGGGGAUAUUGGACAAUGGGGGAAACCCUGAACCAGCGACGCCGCGUGAGUGAAGAAGUCGUUCGGUAUGUAAAGCUCUAUCAGCAGGGGAGAAAGAAGUGACGGUACCUGAGUCAGAAGCCCCGGCUAACUACGUGCCAGCAGCCGCGGUGAUACGUCGGGGGCAAGCGUUAUCCGGAAUUACGGGGUGUAAAGGGAGCGUAGACGGGAAGGCAAGUCUGGAGUGAAAGGCGGGGGCCCAACCCCCGGAGUGCUCUGGAAACUGGGUAACUGGAGUGCAGGGGAGGCAGGCGGAAUGCGUGGUGUAGCGGUGAAAUGCGUAGAUAUUAGGAGGAACACCAGUGGCGAAGGCGGCCUGCUGGACUGUAACUGACGUUGAGGCUCGAAAGCGCGGGGAGCGAACAGGAUUAGAUACCCGUGUAGUC